AGGAUCCCAGUGUCCAGGCAUGAGCCAGCAACCCUGGAAACCUACACUCCCCAGAGAAAAACCAAAAAUUGAAAGAAAACCAAAUUAAAAGGAAGCAAAACACAUAAAGCAUCAGUCACAGUUUGCCCCAGCCUGGAUCUGACCUCGAAGAAGCCGGAAGACAGAUGUGCCCCACUUCAAACACGUCUGGCUUCUGGCACCACUUGUGAGGCUCCCUGAAAGUUCACCCAUGCUCCUGCUGUAUCCCAAAGCAAGGCCAUGAGCAGCCAAACACACUAGUGACCAAACACAAGCCACUGCCUCAUGCCUCUUCAGCCACAUUUAUAGAGGCCAAGCCAGAGCCUCUCCUGGCCCUGCCAGCUCUUCUGUCACCUACAGUCCUGUUGGUGACAGAAGAGUGUAUCUUGCCUUCAGGUCUUGCAGUUGAAAGCAUGGAAACCAAAACAAACGAACAAAAAAGAGAGAAAGAAA
rnacentral:lncRNA from 1 species